rnacentral:rRNA from 2 species
GCAAGUCGAACGAACUCUGGUAUUGAUUGGUGCUUGCAUCAUGAUUUACAUUUGAGUGAGUGGCGAACUGGUGAGUAACACGUGGGAAACCUGCCCAGAAGCGGGGGAUAACACCUGGAAACAGAUGCUAAUACCGCAUAACAACUUGGACCGCAUGGUCCGAGCUUGAAAGAUGGCUUCGGCUAUCACUUUUGGAUGGUCCCGCGGCGUAUUAGCUAGAUGGUGGGGUAACGGCUCACCAUGGCAAUGAUACGUAGCCGACCUGAGAGGGUAAUCGGCCACAUUGGGACUGAGACACGGCCCAAACUCCUACGGGAGGCAGCAGUAGGGAAUCUUCCACAAUGGACGAAAGUCUGAUGGAGCAACGCCGCGUGAGUGAAGAAGGGUUUCGGCUC